rnacentral:rRNA from 1 species
GAUGAACGCUGGCGGCGUGCCUAAUACAUGCAAGUCGAGCGAACAGACGAGGAGCUUGCUCCUCUGACGUUAGCGGCGGUCGGGAGAGUCCCCCGUGGAUAAACUACCUGUAAGAAUGGGAUAACAUCGGGAAACCGGAGCUCAUACCGGAUAAUAUAUUGAACCGCAUGGUUCCAUAGUGAAAUACGGUUUUGCUGUCACUUAUGGCUUGAUACGCCGCGCAUUAGCUAGUUGGUAAGGUAGAGGCUUACCAACGCGACGAUGCUUAUCCGCCCUGAGAGGGUGAUCGGCCACACUGGAACUGAGACACGGUCCAGACUCCUACGGGAGGCAGCAGUAGGGAAUCUUCCGCAAUGGGCGAAAGCCGGACGGAGCAACGCCGCGUGAGUGAUGAAGGUCCUCGGAUCGUAAAACUCUGUUAUUAGGGAAGAACAAAUGUGUAAGUAACUAUGCUCGUCUUGACGGUACCUGAUCAGAAAGCCACGGCUAACUACGUG